GAUGAACGCUGGCGGCGUGCCUAAUACAUGCAAGUCGAGCGAACAGACGAGGAGCUUGCUCCUCUGACGUUAGCGGCGGACGGGCGAGUAACACGUGGAUAACCUACCUAUAAGACUGGGAUAACUUCGGGAAACCGGAGCUAAUACCGGAUAAUAUAUUGAACCGCAUGGUUCAAUAGUGAAAGACGGUUUUGCUGUCACUUAUAGAUGGAUCCGCGCCGCAUUAGCUAGUUGGUAAGGUAACGGCUUACCAAGGCAACGAUGCGUAGCCGACCUGAGAGGGUGAUCGGCCACACUGGAACUGAGACACGGUCCAGACGCCUACGGGAGGCAGCAGUAGGGAAUCUUCCGCAAUGGGCGAAAGCCUGACGGAGCAACGCCGCGUGAGUGAUGAAGGUCUUCGGAUCGUAAAACUCUGUUAUUAGGGAAGAACAAAUGUGUAAGUAACUAUGCACGUCUUGACGGUACCUAAUCAGAAAGCCACGGCUAACUACGUGC
rnacentral:rRNA from 1 species